CAGCCGCCGCGGGAAGACAGAGGAUGCAAGCGUUAUCCGGAAUGAUUGGGCGUAAAGCGUCUGUAGGUGGCUUUUCAAGUCCGCCAUCAAAUCCCAAGGCUCAACCCUGGACAGGCGGUGGAAAAUACCAAGCUGGAGUACGGUAGGGGCAGAGGGAAUUUCCGGUGGAGCGGUGAAAUGCGUUGAGAUUGGAAAGAACACCAACGGUGAAAGCACUCUGCUGGGCCGACACUGACACUGAGAGACGAAAGCUAGGGGAGCAAAUGGGAUUAGAUACCCCCGUAGUCCCUGUCUCUUAUAC
rnacentral:rRNA from 1 species